rnacentral:lncRNA from 1 species
CGCAGCGCACCUCAGGACAAGUAAUGUGCGUCGAAGGGCUUUGGAAACUGCAAGGCACAGUAUAAAUAACAGGUUCCUUCAUUCCUCCUGGGCAGGAACUUUGGCCUCAACAGUUCCUUCUUUGUUGAGGCCAAAGAAGCUGGGCCAUGAGAAGGCAGAGGAAACGCUGCUGUGGGGAACCAGCAUUCUCUCUGCUUACUCAACGGGGAAAGGACCGUCCAGGCUCUCCUGCAACUGGCCACCAGGGGGCGCCGCUCCCCCAGCCUUCCUCUUACUGAACCUACCCCCCCACCACCCCCUCAACAACCUGCUCGCGAGAAACCAGGCCUUGGAAGGAGUCCGGGGGAGCAGGCACCAGAGACUUUGAAAAGCGGCAAAAACGCGGGAGAUGCUGAGUGGAGCCCUGUGGAGGAGUGCCUGUUCCCAUUUUACAGAUGAGGAAUUUGAGGCCCAAAGAUGUUGGGUAAGAUCAAGAGGCUAGGGACAGGCAGCGCUGGGUCAUUUGCUUCCAAGGUCAGUUCCCAAUGGGACCACAAGCAAAUGCUAGCUCAUUUGG